CUCUUCUUCUCUAGCUGUUUUAAAGUUACUCAAGUUAAAAGCUUUACUGUUUUCUCGUGUAGCCUUAAGAAUAUGCAACCGAUUUAUAAUAUUGUUUAUCUUUUGUUUUCUAUUGUGACUUCUGUAAAUGAAUGGAUAUAAGAAAAUCAGCUUUAACUGUGAUUUUUUAUUCUGCCAAACAAUUCAACUGACAUUUCAAGAUUAUUGUGGUCAGCAUGUUUCUUAGUUUAACUUGAUGGCGAGAAAGAUUUUCAUCAAAUUAUUUCAAUCGUGUCUCAGAUCCAUGUCUUGCUACUGUUUCUAUUUAAAUGGCAACCUGAAAAACAGUCCAACAUUGAGCUGUUGAAGGAGGAAGCUAAAGCUAUCAAAACCGGUGUUUAAUGUUGGGCACUUCAAUAGGCAUCAAGAUGUUUAUUUUAACAUCCGCCUUUCUUGACAAUUUUAACUCUUUUUUAAGUCAUCAAACAAAAUGAACUGUUACUUUUUUGCUGUUACUACCUUAAAUUUCCAACCUUUAAUUACGACGCUUCAAGCAAUACUGGUAAUCGUCACAUUUCCACUCUAUUGUCAAAGAUAAUCUGUUCAGUGAUGAAAACUCCCGCCUAUUGUAAAUUCAAAGGGGAAAAAAGUUGACAAAGAAUCCCUUAGAUUAGCAAUCAUUUUCAUACUGAUUCCUUGUUUACGGGUCAAUAACAAGACUAGCAACAGAAACAGCAUAGUCUAACAACAAUGAAAUGUUGAUUUUUCAGUAUGCUAAUCACGAUCCGUCUGUGAUCAGAUUACACAGGAUGAUUGUUCAAGAAAUAGCCAAAAAAUCGUAACAAAUCUAGAAAAAUUAUUAACUUUAUAAAGCAACCAUGGCAUCAAAAACAAAAGGUAAACCAGUCUGGUUACAUUCAAAUCAUUGCAUAAAAAGAUAAAUUUUCAGGUUAGAAAGUGAGUACACUCAAGAGAAGGCAAGAUUUUUUUUCUUUGAAGUCGUUCUGCAACUUUGAUUAUCAACUGAUCACGAGUUUUAUCUGCAAAUGAUCCAAAAUAUCAACAUAAACAGAAUAAUCAUUGCAAGUUCAAUUCUAAUUCUUUUGUCUCGCCAUUUUUCCUUUUAGACGCACUUAAACCAUGGCAACUAAUGUGUUACGAGACAUAGCCAACAAAUUGGGAAUAUAAAACGUCCAAAAAUCUUUGAGGAAAAAAUAAGUUUCAAAGGAUGAAAAAGAUACAAGAAUGGAGCCAAUGGACUCUGAAAAAAUUUACAAGUCAGUCACACUGUAACUAAGUAAUAAAAGAUAUAAUUCUGAUAUGUUUCAAAAAGAGGCCUGAAAUGUAAAAGGAUUUCAUUUUGAAAAGGUAGAGGUGGUCUUUGAU